ensembl:lncRNA
UGCCUCCGUCGUCUCCAGAGAGGGGUUUAUGGUGGAGGUCUCCCGACCUGGGGGCAUGACACACAGAGCUUGCCGGUACACAUGGACAUGGGAGACAGCGACUUUCAGGCCCCAGGGCCAAGACGGGUGCACCAAACAGGGAGGGUCCUGCAGGUGCCUGAGAGGUCAGGUUCCUUGAAGUGGGAUCCCACAGCCCCCUGAGGAAAGCCGGUCCUUCUCCCCUUCACUCUGUGUCAGACCCAUGGCCGUCCAGGAAGGGGCCCCAGCCUCCACAGAGGUGCUGGCAGCUGUGAUCGCACAGCCUUCAGUGCAAAGAGCAGCAGCCAGAGCACCACCACCACCCAGACACCAUUCUGUUUACCUCCCUGUGCAACUGUGAAAGUGAAGGUUGUCCAAGGAAAUGCAGGUGAUGCCUAGAAAUGUGCUUGUAGGGAUCUGGCUGUCCCCUCUCUACCCCAGGAGUUGGGGGAUAGGAUCCACGUGAGUGCAUGAAGCCUCUGCUGGGAGCACUGGCUGCCUUGCUGCUUCUCACCAGCUGAACCAGACAGCCUGACCAUGCAGCAGAACAAGGACUUCUCCAGUUGCCACAUGUAGGACAGAAUGGUGCAGAAGGACUUGUCAGGGACAAAGGACAAAGACCUCGCCUGCUCUGGGGCAGGUGUGUGACUGGUUUCAGCUGGUAGCUCAGGGCUGUUUGGGAAAGCUGGAAGGAGGGGUGAGGGGCUCAGGCCAAUGGCCAGGAGCUGCUCGCUGAGCGUUCACAUCCUGACUCUCAGGACGGGUUUCCACAGAAUGCUGUGUCCCAGGUGUAGAAACCACUGUCUUGUCCAACAAUCCAGCGAAGUGUGGCAGUCCAGCAGCCCUGAGAAGGGGCGGCUGUCAGCCUGGCUCCCUGACCCUCUGUUCUAGCCUGGGGGCCGCCCGUCCUGCUCACAUGGGGCAAGCUGACCCGAGUGACCCAGUCCCUGUCCCCCGCUGGCCGAGCAUGGUCCAGGCUGGUCCUGCUGAGACCGCCACCCGCCACAGCCACAGUUCACUCAGGCCUUGCUGCACCUCAGGGAGUGUUGGUUUCGGUCACUUGAUGGUGGGGAAGGACCACAUUUAAUUGUUCUUUGGAAGCCACUUUGUCGUCCCUGUGAAAUGUUUGUGUGUGUGUGUUUGUGUUAGAAGCUCAGUCAUGUCCCAGUCUUUGUGGCCCCAUGGACUAUAUAGCCCGCCAGGCUCCUCUGUCCAUGGAAUUCUCCAGGCAAGAAUACUGAGUGGGUAGCCAUUCCCUUCUCCAGGGAAUGGCUUCCCUUCUCCAGACUGGGGAUCAAACCCAGGUCUUCUGUGUUGCAGGUGGAUUCUUUACUGUCUGAGCCACCAGGGUAGCCCAGAUGAUAGUCUAAAAGUUCUUUAGAAUUGUCUAUAUCUACAUGCAGACAGUGACUGCAGC